UGGCUGAGUGGUAAAGCAUUUGUCUUCGGAACUGGUGGUCUUGGGUUCGAAUCCUGG
rnacentral:tRNA from 1 species